UGGGGAAUAUUGGACAAUGGGCGCAAGCCUGACCCAGCCAUGCCGCGUGAGUGAUGAAGGCCCUAGGGUUGUAAAGCUCUUUUGUGCGGGAAGAUAAUGACUGUACCGCAAGAAUAAGCCCCGGCUAACUUCGUGCCAGCAGCCGCGGUAAUACGAAGGGGGCUAGCGUUGCUCGGAAUCACUGGGCGUAAAGGGUGCGUAGGCGGGUCUUUAAGUCAGGGGUGAAAUCCUGGAGCUCAACUCCAGAACUGCCUUUGAUACUGAGGAUCUUGAGUUCGGGAGAGGUGAGUGGAACUGCGAGUGUAGAGGUGAAAUUCGUAGAUAUUCGCAAGAACACCAGUGGCGAAGGCGGCUCACUGGCCCGAUACUGACGCUGAGGCACGAAAGCGUGGGGAGCAAACAGGAUUAGAUACCCUGGUAGUCCACGCCGUAAAACGAUGAAUGCCAGCCGUUGGGGGAGUUUACUCUUCAGUGGCGCAGCUAACGCUUUAAGCAUUCCGCCUGGGGAGUACGGUCGCAAGAUUAAAAACUCAAAUGAAUUGACGGGGUCAUAGCUGUUUCCUG
rnacentral:rRNA from 1 species